CCUUGAUAAUUAAGAUCUUUCUUUCUUUCUUUCUUUCUUUCUUUCUUUCUUUCUUUCUUUCUUUCUUUCUUUCUUUCUUUCUUUCUUUCUUUCUUUCUUUCUUUCUUUCUUUCUUUCUUUCUUUCUUUCUUUCUUUCUUUCUUUCUUUCUUUCUUUCUUUCUUUCUUUCUUUCUUUCUUUCUUUCUUUCUUUCUUUCUCUCUCUCUCUCUCUCUCUCUCUUUCUUUCUCUCUCUCUCUCUCUCUCUUUCUUUCUUUCUUUCUUUCUUUCUUUCUUUCUUUCUUUCUUUCUUUCUUUCUUUCUUUCUUUCUUUCUUUCUUUCUUUCUUUCUUUCUUUCUUUCUUUCUUUCUUUCUCUCUUUCUUUCUCUCUUUCUUUCUCUCUUUCUCUCUCUCUCUUUCUCUCUCUCUCUUUCUCUCUUUCUUUCUCUCUUUCUUUCUCUCUUUCUUUCUCUCUUUCUUUCUCUCUUUCUUUCUUUCUCUCUUUCUUUCUCUCUUUCUUUCUCUCUUUCUUUCUCUCUUUCUUUCUCUCUUUCUUUCUCUCUUUCUUUCUCUCUUCCUUCCUUCCUUCCUUCCUUCCUUCCUUCCUUCCUUCCUUCCUUCCUUCCUUCCUCCUCUCUCUGACUCUUUCUUUCUUUCUGUGUGUCUCUCUGUCUCUCCUCUCCCUGUUUCUCUCUCUGUCUCACUCUUUGUCUGUCUCUCCUUCUUUCCUCCCUUCUCUCUCUGUCUCUACUUCUGUCUCUUUCUGUCUGUCUCUUUCUCUGUCUCUGACUGUCUUUCUCCCCUCCCUUUCACUGUCUCUGUCUCUCUUCCCCUCUCUCUUUCUCUGUCUCUGUCUUGCUUUCUCUCUCUAUUUCUGUUUCUCUUUCUCUGUAUGUUUCUAUUUUUCUGUCUCUCUCUCUGCUUUCUUCUUCCCUCUCUCUGUCUCUCUUUGUCUCAUUCUCUCUGUUUCUCUUACUCUGUCUUGCUUUCUUUCUCUCCUGGUUCUCUUUCUCUGUCUAUUUCUCUGCUUUCUUUUUUCUCUGUAUGUUUCUCUGUCUCUGCUUUGCUUUUUCUCUGUCUCUGUCUCUCCCUGUGUUUCUGUAUCUCUUCUCUGUCUCUUCUCUCUGACUCUCUUUUCUGACUCUGUCUCUCUAUCACUUUCCCCCCUCUUUUACUCACUAGGACCCCUUGUCCAAUUUUCUGUACAUUUUUAGUGAACCUUUAAAUUAAAAAAAAAGCCUUUUCUGGGAUAUUUUAAAAAAGAAAAUACACAGCAAUAUUUCCAGUCACAUCACAUGUCAUCAAAAGCUCUGUUGUGGCCCUUGGUUGAAGACAACUCAACAGUGGGGCCCUUUGAUAACUAAAAAUUGGAUGUUCAGCAAUUCCAGUUUGCUUUUUUUUUUUUUUAACACUGAGACUGCCCAGCACUGCAGUUUUUGAAACAAUUUACUCUUUUCUUUAGGUCCAUUUCUUAUCUCUGUCGGCAGCCUAGGGAGACACGAAACAGGCCCUGGGUUUCUCUUUCAGCAAAGCAGAUGAUAUUUAUUCUUCUUGAAAGAGAAAGAGGUAUAUUGACUGGCUAGAGCUUUCAUUUUGCAGCUGAAACUGUGAUGCAGGCUUGUUACACUUAAUCUUGGUUCAGAUUCCCCUUUCUCUUCCUCCUCUCUCCUCUAAAAACUCUGGUGGGUGAAAGAAAGCAAAGCCCCAACAUACGUAUUGGACUCAGAAUGAGAAAAUCUGAUGGGGUGGUGGUGAACUGUGAGGAAAAGAAAUGUCUGGCUUGAAUUCCCAACUGCAACCAAUUGUAGUAUAUUCAGAACCAUUCAUUUUCCAUUUUAAUAUUCUGAUUUUAAUAUCAUGCACCAAAGUGACCUUUUU
ensembl:lncRNA